rnacentral:tRNA from 1 species
GCUUCUUUAGCUCAGUUGGUUAGAGCAUCUGACUGUUAAUCAGAGGGUCCAAGGUUCGAGUCCUUGAAGGAGCG